rnacentral:rRNA from 1 species
AUUGAACGCUGGCGGCAGGCUUAACACAUGCAAGUCGAGCGGAGCGGCGGACGGGUGAGUAAUGCCUGGGAAUCUGCCUGGUAGUGGGGGAUAACGUCCGGAAACGGGCGCUAAUACCGCAUACUAUCAGAUGAGCCUCGGUCGGAUUAGCUAGUGGGUGGGUUAAAGGCCUACCAAGGCGACGAUCCGUAACUGGUCUGAGAGGAUGAUCAGUCGCACUGGAACGGAGACACGGUCCAGACUCCUACGGGAGGCAGCAGUGGGGAAUAUUGGACAAUGGGCGAAAGCCUGAUCCAGCCAUGCCGCGUGUGUGAAGAAGGUCUUCGGAUUGUAAAGCACUUUAAGUUGGGAGGCGUUACCAACAGAAUAAGCACCGGCUAACUUCGUGCCAGCAGCCGCGGUAAUAC